CCAUAAAAUAGGGACUAAACGAAGUUGGAAGCCUUGAAACGCCUUAUUCAAUUUGACAACCAUAUUCUUUUACCUAUUUUUAUAUUAAUUUAUUAAUGCAAUUGCUUUUCAAUAUGUUGCCAAGAAACAAAUGAGUUUGCCUUGCAGUUACCUGAAAGCACUUUCAUUUUAUUUGAUAAGGAACUUGCAUUUGUUAAUAGCUUAGUUGCUAGCUUUUUCAUACCAGGGAACAAUUGGAAUUCAACGCCAGGAAAGUUUGCCUGAGCAACCAGAUGGGAUAUGGUCUAGUGCUAAAAGCUCCUUAAAUAAGGCAUUUUCAGCGGAGUGGAUGUUUUUAAUCGUUAGCCUGAUGCUAGAGAUCUUUUCAGCUAUAUGUGAUCAGCUUUCCUCCCCAAGAAAGCCCCUCUAUGCACUCUUUGGUAUGGGGCUGGCUAUUAUGGCUCUAGCCACUUGCAUCUGGGAAUUCAUUCACAAAGGCAGAAGAGGAAAAGUUGAAUUUGGCAAGUGCGGAAAAUUUCUGUGGUGGUUUUAUUGUCCAUGUUCAGGCACCCUUUUUGGUACUUUCCCUGAGAUUUGUGGAUUAAUUUAUGCAAUCACUCAGUGGGCUUCCUCCAUGGUUCAGCUUGUGUGCGUGCUUCGGCAUAAGGACAAUCCUUUCAAAGUAAACAUUUUGCCUGUCCUCUUUCUUG